AGUGAACGCUGGCGGCGUGCUUAACACAUGCAAGUCGAACGAGAACGGGUAUUAGCUUGCUAAUACUGUCAGCUAAGUGGCGCACGGGUGAGUAAUAUAUAGGUAACGUGCCUUCGAGAAGGGGAUAACAAUUGGAAACGAUUGCUAAUACCCUAUAUGCCUUUAAGUCCUAAGACUGCAAGGGAAAUAUUUAUAGCUCGAAGAUCGGCCUGUACAGUAUCAGUUAGUUGGUGAGGUAAUGGCUCACCAAGACAAUGACGCUUAACUGGUUUGAGAGGAUGAUCAGUCACACUGGAACUGAGACACGGUCCAGACUCCUACGGGAGGCAGCAGUGGGGAAUAUUGCACAAUGGAGGAAACUCUGAUGCAGCAACGCCGCGUGGAGGAUGACACAUUUCGGUGCGUAAACUCCUUUUAUAUAGGAAGAUAAUGACGGUACUAUAUGAAUAAGCACCGGCUAACUCCGUG
rnacentral:rRNA from 1 species